rnacentral:rRNA from 1 species
AUUGAACGCUGGCGGCAGGCUUAACACAUGCAAGUCGAACGAGUGGCGGACGGGUGAGUAAUGCUUGGGAAUCUAGCUUAUGGAGGGGGAUAACUACGGGAAACUGUAGCUAAUACCGCGUACCAUAGGAUGAGCCCAAGUGGGAUUAGGUAGUUGGUGAGGUAAAGGCUCACCAAGCCGACGAUCUCUAGCUGGUCUGAGAGGAUGACCAGCCACACUGGGACUGAGACACGGCCCAGACUCCUACGGGAGGCAGCAGUGGGGAAUAUUGCACAAUGGGGGAAACCUGAUGCAGCAACGCCGCGUGCGGGAUGACGGCCUUCGGGUUGUAAACCGCUUUCAGCCAUGACGCGGUAGUGGCAGAAGAAGCACCGGCUAACUACGUGCCAGCAGCCGCGGUAAUAC